UGGAUCAGCGAUGACCACUGGUGGCAUGAGUCACGGAUGAUGGCUCCUAUGUGUCUGGACAUGUGGUCUGU
rnacentral:snoRNA from 1 species